GUGGGGAAUUUUGGACAAUGGGCGCAAGCCUGAUCCAGCAAUGCCGCGUGCAGGAAGAAGGCCUUCGGGUUGUAAACUGCUUUUGUACGGAACGAAACGGUCCGGGUUAAUACCCUGGGCUAAUGACGGUACCGUAAGAAUAAGCACCGGCUAACUACGUGCCAGCAGCCGCGGUAAUACGUAGGGUGCAAGCGUUAAUCGGAAUUACUGGGCGUAAAGCGUGCGCAGGCGGCUUUGCAAGACAGAUGUGAAAUCCCCGGGCUCAACCUGGGAACUGCAUUUGUGAAUGCAAGGCUAGAGUACGGCAGAGGGGGAUGGAAUUCCGCGUGUAGCAGUGAAAUGCGUAGAUAUGCGGAGGAACACCAAUGGCGAAGGCAAUCCCCUGGGCCUGCACUGACGCUCAUGCACGAAAGCGUGGGGAGCAAACAGGAUUAGAAACCCUAGUAGUCC
rnacentral:rRNA from 1 species